rnacentral:rRNA from 1 species
AACGAACGCUGGCGGCAUGCCUAACACAUGCAAGUCGAACGAGACCUUCGGGUCUAGUGGCGCACGGGUGCGUAACGCCUGGGAACCUGCCCUUAGGUUCGGAAUACCUCCCCGAAAGGGGUGCUAAUACCGGAUAAUGUCUUCGGACCAAAGAUUUAUCGCCUUUGGAUGGGCCCGCGUUGGAUUAGCUAGUUGGUAGGGUAAAAGCCUACCAAGGCGACGAUCCAUAGCUGGUCUGAGAGGAUGAUCAGCCACACUGGGACUGAGACACGGCCCAGACUCCUACGGGAGGCAGCAGUGGGGAAUAUUGGACAAUGGGCGAAAGCCUGAUCCAGCAAUGCCGCGUGAGUGAUGAAGGCCUUAGGGUUGUAAAGCUCUUUUACCCGGGAUGAUAAUGACAGUACCGGGAGAAUAAGCACCGGCUAACUCCGUG